rnacentral:rRNA from 1 species
AGAGUUGAUCAUGGCUCAGGAUGAACGCUAGCUACAGGCUUAACACAUGCAAGUCGAGGGGAAACGACAUCGAAAGCUUGCUUUUGAUUGGGCGUCGACCGGCGCACGGGUGAGUAACGCGUAUCCAACCUGCCCACCACUUGGGGAUAACCUUGCGAAAGUAAGACUAAUACCCAAUGAUAUCUCUAGAAGACAUCUGAAAGAGAUUAAAGAUUUAUCGGUGAUGGAUGGGGAUGCGUCUGAUUAGCUUGUUGGCGGGGUAACGGGCCCACCAAGGCAACGAUCAGUAGGGGUUCUGAGAGGAAGGUCCCCCACCAUUGGAACUGAGACACGGUCCAAACUCCUACGGGAGGCAGCA